UCCCUGGCAGUGGGCACAGAGACACCCUGUUGGUGGUGCUGCUCUUAUAUCAGUUGGGCAGAGCAGACGACAGUCCUUCAUUCAUCCAAGCAUGAUGCCUGGCUUGGUGGCCAAAGCUGUUUCAUGCCUGGGGCACAUUA